AAUCAUGUUAUUAUUUAGCUGGUUUCAUCAUAAUAUACAUGAUUAACUGAAACUUGUUCGUAAAUCUUAGAGAUUUAGAGGCAGCUCAAAUGAUCGAGCCCCCUCCAAAUUCUGAAAUGGUGGUUUGUGUUUGUGUUUGUUUGAGUUAGUGCCUUAGUUGACGUUGAGGGUUGGGAUAAUUUUGUUUAGGAUUUGAGUCCAAUUCAGAAUUUUUCAAAUAUUUUUUUUUUGUUAUUUUGACGUCGAAUUACAUCACCGUUAAAUUUUGCAAAACUUCUCAUGCAAUCACGCCAUGUUUUAUUGUCUUGAGUAUAUUUGUUUUUUUUUUUUUUUUUUCAAAAAUAAUAUUUUUCUGAAACAUAUUGGAAAUCGAAAUUUUUAUAUCUCCUUUUGAUUUGGAUUAAAAAAGGAACAUAUUAUGAAAAAAUAUAUAAUUCGGAUUAAACAUCAAAAAGUAUUUCAUUGAAAAUUAGUUUUUGAGACUUUCACGUUCUGCAUUUCACUUUUUGAGCAUUUGAGUGAAAUUAGAUGUUCUGUAUUUUUCCACUCAUUUAAAUCUCCUUUGAUCGAAUUCAAUUCAUUUUUCUUUGUCGUGAAUUUGUGUGACUUUUUCAAUGAAUUUGCAAUUUUUUGACAAAAUAUUUAAUUAUUGUAAGAAAUAUUAUAUUUAAAAUGUGCUAAGACCAAAAGACUAGUUAUUCUAAACAAUAUUGACCACCCUGUUCUCUUGAUUUACUUUCCUAUAAUUUAAAGAAUAACCGAUCAAGCCUAUGUAUGUCUAUGUACCUACGUACGCAUUAAUUUUAUAUUUUGUCAUUAUCAUAUUUCUCUCUUUACUUACUGUACAAUCGAAUGACUUAUUUUAACGUUACCUACUAAAUCUUAUGUACUUUCUCUUAAUCGUUUCAAAAUAUUAACUGUUAGUUUUAAGUUAUGAGAAAUAUGUUAUUUUACCAAAUCACUUGUAAUAAAGUUCUCGCUAAGACAAGACGUGUCUUUGUUUUUUUUAAUGAUUUCAAUGAUUUAUAUUUUCGCAUGUAAUUAGUAGUUUUGCAUUAAGUUUUAAUUUAUUUGCUUGUUUAAAGUAGUUUGAUAUGCUAAAGUAAAUGCAUUAUAUUAUCAAACUUAUAUUUUUAUUGUUUAGUAAUGUUUAUUUGUUGUUAAUUAAAAAAAAAAUACAUAAAACACAUGAGGCAUUAAAUAUAAUUCAUCACUGCCUCUGUGUUGCAACCUCAUUCGCUUUGCACUUUACCUAAUUAAUUUUAAUUUGAAAACUUGCAAUAAUAUCGUCCAUGUUCUGCAUUUCACUUACAUAUUUGAUAUGUCUCGCAAAAUGUGACCUCUUUUUUUUUUCAUUUAAAUUCUGCUUUUUUCCAUUAAAGUUACCAAUAAAAUUGCAUCCAUGUUCAAAGCAGCAGUAAUUUUACUUUAGAAACAAAAUAAAAAUGGAUAAUCUUUCUGUUUUGACAGUUCGACGCAUUUUCGAAAGUUUCGAAAUCGAUCGAAGAUCAAUUUCACGUGAAAUUGAAAAGUGAUUUCAAUACACUUUCGGUCGAAUUUCGGAACAUGAGCGUUUAUAUCGAAUAAAGUGAUGAGUGCAGGUCAAAAAAUUAGACGUGAUAGGAAUAAAGAUUAAAGAUUACUCAACACCUCGCUGUUUGUGUAAAAUGUUUGGAAUACAAGAACUUUGAUAAAAACACUAUUUUGAAUAUGAAUAUGACUACGAAGUCGAGAGCACUAAAAUGCUACUAUACCACUUUCAGUACUGCAGCACAUCGCUUUUGUCUCUAUCAAAAAUGAAUAAAAACAAUCAUUUUUAUAAAAAAACAAAACCGACUUUCAUGGAUCAAAACUGUGUUUUAUGGUUUUUCUAAUAGUUUCUAUGGCCAGAACGAAAUUGAAAUGGGACCACAUUGUAGCCACCAGCUUUCCAAUACAAAAAGAAUUAUCAAAAUUGUUUCACUCAGUCCAAAGUUAUGAGGUAGCAAACAUAAAAAAAAAAAACAAAAAACAAAACAGACGAAUUGAAUACCUCCUCCUUUUUGGAAGUCGGUAAAAAAGAAAAAAAUUUCAUAAUUUCACCAUAUAAAAAAUUUUCAAGCCCUCUCCAAAUUUUUUUCUGGAUACGCCACUGAUUACACGGUCAACGAAAUCGGUCAACGCGUUGACUCUCUGACGUCAAGAAAAAAUCCAUAUUCUCUCUGUCAUCUCACCGUCAACGUUCACAGUGUCAAUGCAUAAAACGUUGGCUAUCACACGAUUGACACUAUUGCGUCAAUUUUGUGCUAAAUUAUGUUGACGCGCAGGUGUGUCAACGUGACGUUUACUGAGCAGUGUCAACGCGUUGACUCGCAAAACUUUGUUAAUCACACUGUUUGACACAAAGAAAAAAUUUAAAUUUUCCAAAAAUAUUUUCUAAAAAAAAAGCGGAGAAAAUGAGAUUUGAAAAACAAGUACUUGGGUCUAUGGCUGACACAAGGGUUGAGUAUGACCGAGCAGUUCAAGGAUAGAACGCAUCAGGCAAAAACGAGCUUAAACUUGACUUGGCAAUCUUUUGUUUCGAAAAAGGACAUCAGUAAUUCAUCAAAACUCGAACUUUUUAACGCAGUUGCAAGGUCAAUUCUGGGAUAUGGUGCACAGGCCUGGGGACAUGAGCAAUACGAUGAAAUGGAAAAAGUCCAACGAUAUCUCUUAAAAAAAAUAAUGAAAGUACCAACUUCAACCCCAAACUACAUGCUCGUACUGGAGCUAAAAUUAAAACCUCUUCUCAUUUACACAAUGAAAUGUCACAUGUGCUACAUUAAGAAAAUUCUCUGUCUAUACGACGAGAAUUGUCUCCCGCAUAUAUUAGCUAAUAUAGUAGUCAUGCUAAUUUAAACCAAACAUUACGAACAAGCCCAUCAAGAUCCUUUUUAUACUUGUGCUAGCGUGCGGUUGAUUCUUGGAUAAUGAUACUCAGUGUUGAAAGUAUCAACAGGAACACCAAAAAAACCCAACACCAAAUUCCCACGGCAAUCAUAGCAGUCUCAGUAUGCUGAGUCACAACAAAAUACCUUGACCAUAAUAUUGUGUUACAUUAAAGCGCAGUGUCAUCAAUAGUUUUAAUUUUGUUUAUUAUUUAUGUUUUGAUUUGCCUUCCGCUUUUUUUGUCGUUUAUAGGUCAACCAAAAGCAAUAAAUAUAUUAUUAGUAAGCAAUAUGUUAUAUCAGGGCAAGGAUUCUUAUGCAAAUACAUAUUUUUUUUUGCAUAUUUUGCUAUAUGUGCAUAUACAUGCAUAUUUCGGUUUUUAGUGGAUAUUUUCGUAAUAAACGCAUAUUUUUGCCACAUAUUUUUAAAAAACGGAACAGUUUAAUUUUUGUUUAAGUUAUUUUUUAAAAUUUGUUUCAAAUGCGUACGCACCUUAAGCAUUUUAAUUUUAACAUCAAAAGAAGAAUGAAUUAAUACAAUUUCAACUGUCAUCGCUUCCAGUCUUCCAAUGCAAAUCUUCUUGCUUUUUCUUUCCACACAUAAUCAAAACAAAACAUACAACUGGAUAUAGAAACGGUAAAAUGAAACGAAGUAGGAGUCAAAGUCAAAACUCAAGAAUAUUUUGAUUGAAUUGGUAGACAAAAUUUUAUAAAUUUCUAAAAAAUUUAAACAACUGGAUAAAUCAUCGAAAGUUUGAGAGAAACGAAGUGCGAAAUAUGCCAAAAGUAAGAAGGUCUGUAGCUGCUACCCUGAAUAAAUACACAUCAGAAAAUCCGGAUGUAUUUAAACAUGAUGGAAAGGUUCUCUUUUGUAAAGUGUGCAGCAAAGGUAAUCUUUUUGAAAGAAAGUUCCAAGUUGACCAGCAUUUAAGGAGCCAAAAGCAUAAAGAACUAAAUGAAAGAAGAAAUACUUCUUUAUCUCAACAGAUGAUUUCGUUGGCCAACACUGAAAACAAAUUUUUACGAAGACUUGUGUGAAGCUUUUCUAGCUGCCGAUAUCCCGUUCUAUAAAUUAAAUAACCCUGCAUUAAAAAAUUUGUUUAAUAAAUACACAAGUCAAAAUGUUCCAUGUGAAUCCACAAUAAGAAAAAAUUAUGUGGAUAAAAUUUAUAAUUCGACUUUAAAUGAAAUCGAAACGAACUUGAGAAAUAAUUUUUUAUGGGUUUCGAUAGACGAAACUACAGAUAUUCAAGGACAUUUUAUUUCAAAUGUUAUUGUUGGUAUUUUGCAUCAAAAUGAAGAUUUAAGUAAGAAAAAGUAUUUAGUUAACGUAAUUGAAAUGGAGAAGACAAACCAUAUUUUAAUUGCUCGUGCGUUUGACGAUUCGAUAAAUUUACUCGGAGAUAUAAAACAAAAAUAAAAUUCUUUUAUUUGUAACUGACGGUGCCCCCUACAUGGUAAAAGCUGGACGUGGCUUAAAGCUAUUUUGUCCUAAAAUGGUUCAUGUUACAUGUCUAGCACAUGCAUUUCAUCGGGUCGCUGAAGAAAUACGAAAUAAUUUUAAAGACAUUGAUACUUUGAUAUCAAACGGAAAAAAAAUAUUUCUUAAAGCACCAACACGCGUGGAUUUGUUUAAAGAAAAAAAUCCUGGGAUUCCUCUUCCUCCACAACCUGUUGUCACACGAUGGGGAACGUGGCUUACUGCAGUCGAAUAUUAUGCGAAAAAUAUUGAAAAUUUUGAAGAAGUUGUGAAGGAAUUGGACGACUCAGAUGCAGUUUCUAUAAGAAAAACUAAAGAGUAAUUGAACAAAACAAUGCUAAAAAUUCAAUUAAUAUUUUUAAAUUCUAACUAUGGCUUUUUCAAUGAACUCUUAACUAAGCUUCAGGGUUGGAAUUCAUUAAAAACCCAAAUAGAUUUAAUUUAAGAUGCUUUUAAAAAAAUAAGUGCAGUUGAGGGUUCAAUUGGAAAAGCCAUUUAAAAAAAAAAACUGACAAUGUUUUAAAUAAAAAUGAAGGUUACUCUGAACUUAAAAAUAUUUCAAACAUCUUGUCGAACCCCGAACAUGAAGUUGUUUUAGAAAACUUAUCGAGUAGUGAAACACUUGCUUUUAAAAAUGCUCCAAUAACAUCGUCCGAAGUUGAACGAUCUUUUUCUAUGUUCAAAAGUUUUUUUAGGCCAAAUAGGCAAAAUUUUAGUUUUGAAAAUUUCAAAAAUAAUUUUAUGGUGCAUGCCAACAAAAAUUGUACUAAUGAUCCGAGUUUGUAGAUAUUUGUAUUAUGUCCCUAACUUAAAUCUAAUGUUUUUUUUUUAAUCCUGAAAGGUUUUAUGUUUUCUUUUUGUAUUGUUGCUUUGUUUAUUUAAUUUUAAUAAAAGACAAGAACUUACCAUUACCAUGCAACAUUGAACACCAUCAAAUGCGAGUUGUGUAAAGGCGAUCAUCCACUCUACACAUGCAGAACAUUUUUGCAGAAGGGAAUAUACCAGAGAAAUGAAUAUGCAAAAGAAAAUAAACUUUGUAUAAACUGUCUAAGACCAGGACACUUCACCCAAACCUGAAUGUCAACAAGAAGAUGUCAAAAAUGUAAUAAGAAGCACCAUACUUCGGUGCACUUCGACCAAAAUCCAGAAAAUCCGAGACGAUCAAUGGCUGUUGAACGAACAACCCAAUCCGGGAGAGUGCAGUCCCACAACUGCACAACAGGCAGUAGUGUUCUUCUAGCAACAGCUGUUAUCAAAAUAAAUGGACCAAACAAUAACAUACAAUGUGUCAGAGCGUUAAUAGACCAAGGCUCUCAAGCAUCGUUUAUCACCGAAGAUGUAGCAAACAAACUACAACUACAAAGAACAAAGGUUGAUGGAACAGUAUCCGGACUUGGCUCACACGAGGUAUCAACAGUAAAAUAUAAAGUAAACAUCACUCUAAGCAACAAUCCAAACACCUGUACCACUGCAUAUGUCCUAAAAAAUGUCACAAAAACACUCCCAUCUACACGUAUAAAAACAGAGUGGGGACACCUACAAAAAUUAAUACUAGCUGAUCCUACAUACAACAUUCCAGGCAAAAUCGACAUGAUCGUGGGUGCAGAAGUGAUUGCCGAAAUACUCCAGGAAGGAGUCAUCAAGGGAAAACCAGGCUCACCUAUAGCCCAACAAACCAUCUUUGGGUGGGUUAUAUCUGGAAAUACUGGCAACAACACUCAACAAUUAUCGUGUCAUAUCAUAUUAACUGACUUAGACAAUCGAAUAAGCAAGUUCUGGAAUACUGAAGACCUAAGAAAUGAAACACAAGGGGCCUUACCAAUAAUGAAUCGCUAAACACACGUUUAAGUAUCGUCGGGUUAAAUUUUAUCGUCGCGUUAAAUUGGGUGUAUACUAAUAAUCAAAAUAAACACGCGUUUAACUAAUUGUGCUUCUAUUACCAGAUCUAUUACAUUUGUUGUCAAAAUGACACCAUUGAAGUGACAUUUUUUGCAUGUAAUGUAAUAAUGAACAAAAACAUAACCACAAAAUACCUACAUACCUUCAUAUAUUUUUAUUUUGGUUGUAAAAAUUAAAAAAUGGAGCCUAAGCAAGAAGGCCAAAAGUGCAUAAAAAAAAACUUCAUCUAUCGUGAAGUAUGACGAUGAAAAUUUGCAGAUCUAUUUCUUUUUAAGUUUUCUUUUUCAGCCUUUUCUGAAAGUAUCUAAUGAAUAUUUAUUAAUAAAAAAGAGAAAUAUUAAUAAACAAAUAAAUUUUUCCAUUUACUUAUUUAAUAAUUUGCCGCCAAUAUUAUCAAUUUUUCUCAACAAUAAUUUGUUGACUUGACAAAUGUUUUUUUUUUGCCGUCAAAUGACAGUGCAAAUCGUGCGUUUUAAUUUAACCGUGCGUUUAUAGUUGAGUUUCCCAACUAUAAAAUUAACGUGGCGUUAACCCUUAACCUGACUAUUAAAUUGGUUAUUGGUAUGGAGAAAUAUUUAAAGCUCAGUUAAAUAUUUAACUGAGCUUUAAAUUUGAUUAUUAGUAAGGCCCAAGAAAACCAAACAAAUAAAUGCGAAGACUAUUACCAGCAGACUGUAUCUCGAAACAAUGAAGGAAGGUACAUUGUAAGGAUACCGUUUGAAGUUCAACCAGAACUUUCAAACAAUCAAUCAAAGAAGAGAGCGAUUACAUUAUAUUACUUCACAUGGAAAAAAUUUUUGCAAAAAAUCAAAAAUUGGCCGAAGACUACAAAACGUUUAUGAAGGAGUAUAUUGAGUUAGGACAUAUGAGCAAAUGCAUAACAGGCAAUGAACAAGGGGCAUACUAUCUACCACACCACGCUGUUAGUAACCCGAACAGCUCAACGACAAAACUAAGGGUAGUAUUUGAUGCCUCAUCGAAAUCUGCAACAGAAAAAAGCCUCAACCAACUAAUGCAUACAGGGCCCAAAAUCCAAGAAGACCUGACUUCAAUUCUCAUACGGUGGCGAAAGCAUAGAAUUGUAUUCUCAGCUGACAUUCAGAAGAUGUACCGACAAAUCUUAAUCUACAUCCCAGAUCGUAAAUACCAACGUAUCUUAUGGAGAAACUCCCCAAAUGGAGAAAUCAUGGAAUAUGAACUAAACACUGUCACUUAUGGAACAGCAUCAGCACCAUAUCUAGCUAUAAGAACACUGAAACAACUGGCAGAAGACGAAGGGAAGAAUUAUCCGCAAGCCGCUCAAAGUCUAUUAACAGAUUUCUAUGUGGACGAUGUCAUGUCAGGUGGAGACUCAAUUGAAGAAGUAAGAGAACAGAAAAAACAACCCACGAAUCUCCUCAAAACUGGUGGGUUCCAGUUACAUAAGUGGAAUAGUAAUAUCAAUAGGUUACUGGGAAAAGAAGUAAAUUCCAUAAGGAGCCUCGAAUUAGAUAAAGAAGAAUACGUCAAAACACUUGGCAUUCAGUGGCAUCCAUCAAAGGACUACUUCUCGUUCGAAGUCAAGCCGUAUGAAGCAAAUUCCACCUGGACAAAGAGGAAUGUGUUAUCAGAAAUAGCCUGAAUAUUCGAUCCACUAGGGUGGAUCGCACCGAUCGUUCUACGAGCAAAAUUACUGAUGCAAGACCAAAUGGAACACAACCUUGACUGGGAUGAUCCAAUUCCCACCACACUGAAAACGAAAUGGAAAGAUUACAGAAGCGAUCUCAACAGUAUAACCAAUAUCAAAAUAGAAAGAUGGACGAAAUACUCACGUACUGUCAACAAGAUUGAAAUUCAUGGUUUUUGCGAUGCAUCUGAAAGAGCAUAUGGCGCCAACAUAUACAUGAGAAUCAUAGAUAAAAAUAACAAGAUUACAACAACCUUAUUAACUUCCAAAACAAGGUCGGCACCAAAACAAAAGAAACAAAAUGGCAAGAAACCUUUAACCAUACCCAAACUAGAAUUAUGUGGAGCGGUUUUACUAGCAAACUUGCUGUGGAAGGUUAAAAAAGAUCUAGAUAUCGAGAAGAUAGAGACUUUGCAUGGUGCGACUCAACUGUUGCCUUAGCUUGGAUAAGCGCAACUCCAAAUAAAUGGAAAACUUUUGUUUCACACAGAGUACAAGAAAUCCAGAGAUUAAACACAGGAUACUCAUGAAGACACGUUAAAUCAGAAGAUAACCCUGCAGACUUAGCAUCAAGAGGUACAUCUCCAAGUUUCUUAAAAGAAGCAUCAAUUUGUUGGAAGGGACCAGUGUGGCUACAAUCAAAGCAACUUUUGAAACUCCAACCAAUCUCAAACCUUAAAACAGAACUGGAACUUAAAAUCACGUCACACCAUAUGACCAAGGAAGAAUUCUAUCCACAAGACGACAUUAUUGCAAGAUUUUCAUCAUUCACCCGAUUAAUAAGGGUAAUAGCACUCUGUACCAGAUACAUUCACGUCAUAAAAGGAAAAAUAAAAGCUCGAAAAAUUUCAAAAGAGUCUGACAAAGAAAUACAAGAAGAAAAAAGAGCAUUACAAAAGCGAAAUUUAUUACCAUUAGAAGUGAAAAUUACACACCUUUCGAAACUAAACACGACUGAGCUGAAGGACGCUCAUAUCAACAUCAUAAAGAUAGCACAAAAGACAUUACACGAAGAAUACAAGGCUCUACAAGAACAAGGCUCAGUACCAGUUAGAAGCAACAUAGCCAACCUAAAUCCAUUCAUUCAACAAGGCAUACUACGGGUAGGAGGAAGAUUACAAAACUCACAACUGGCUCCAGAGGCAAAACAUCCGCAAAUAAUCCCACAUAAAUCACAUUUGGCAAAGUUGAUCAUAGACUAAGAGCAUAAGACAACACUUCAUGGUGAAAAUGAUCUAACCAUGGCAUGCAUCUUAACUAAAUAUUGGAUUAUAAAAGGAAGAGGUGAUGUAAACAACUUCAUUAAGAAAUGUAUUAAAUGCCAAAGAUUCAACAUACGAAACCAGACGAAAUUAAUGGGAAAUCUACCCGCACCACGAGUAUGUAUGUCAAGACCUUUUACACACACUGGAGUGGACUAUCCGGGCCCGUUUAUGAUGAAGACUAGCAAAAUUCGUAACGCGAAAUUAACAAAUUGAUAUAUAGCAGUUUUCUUAUGCUUAGCAACAAAAGCAUUUCAUCUUGAAGCAGUCUCCGACCUUUCAACAGACACAUUCUUAGCUGCAUUCGAUAGAAUGAGUUCUAGACGAGGACUGGUAAGUCACCUGUAUAGUGAUAAUGCGACAAACUUUGUAGGAGCCAGCACUAAAAUAAAAAACCAAUAUAAAAAACAAAACGAAGAAUUCACGGAAGCAAUGGCAAAUCAAGGAGUAACAUGGCACUUCAUACCACCAGCAUCUCCACACUUCGGCGAACUCUGGGAAGCUGGAGUGAAAUCAGUCAAGCUUCACCUAAAAAAGACAAUUGGCGACACCCAUCUUCCGUAUGAAGAAUUCGCAACCUAACUUUCAAAAAUAGAAGCUUGUCUCAACUCCAGACCAUUAUGUCCAAUGACUGGUACUCAAGAAGAUUUAGAAUCGUUAACACCAGCUCAUUUCUUGAUCGGCUCAAAUAUGUUCUGCAGAGAUACAGACAACGUUCUCGAUACAAAAGAGAACAGACUGACACGAUGGGAAUAUUUAAAUAAACUAAACCAACAAUUCUGGAAGAGAUGGUCAUCGGAAUAUCUCACAAGAUUGCAAAAACGUCCCAAAUGGACAAAUACAUCAAAUAACAUUGCAGACGGUGAUCUGGUCCUUAUACGAGAAGAUAACAUUGCCCCAGCAAAUUGGUGUAUGGGCAGAGUUCAAACAACAUAUCCUGGAAAAGAUGGAUAUGUCCGAGUUGUCACAGUUAAGACUCCGUCUGGAUAUUUAACGCGUCCAAUAACUUAAAUAUCCAAAUUAGCAACAGAUGCACCAAUAAGAACUGAACCAAAUAAGAAUGCAAUAGAACAGAAUCUAGAAUUGGGGAGUACAAUCGAUAAAAACCCAGUCGUAAACCCAAAAACCCGAAACCAACUAACAUGCCACCAUCUUCAGUCGCCAAUUCUAAAACCAAGAAAAAUCAUUAAAAAAUUUAAAAUACGACCAACGACAAUCCCUAUCCGACCACCAAUAGAAGAACUCAUAGAACGACACCAAGGCAGAAAGAGAGGAAGUGAAAUCAUACGCAAUACUGAAACAAAAAAGGCCAGAACAACCAUUCCAUCAUUAAUUGUAUCCAUUGCACUAGCAUCGAUUGUCUGGCCACUGCCAGUACACGCCCAAUAUUCUAAUACACCAUUUACCACACAUCCAGGAUUGUAUUUUGAAGAUAACGGUAGCAUCAACCUCAUCGCAUCAAAUUGGCGAAUGAUAACAUAUUACAACUUAGCCAUCUACAAAAGCCAAUUUAGGAUUACACAACAUGGUAUACGAUAUAGAUCUAGGAUGCAAGACUCUUAACUCAUCUGAGUGCUUCAAUAUACUCACAAUGUUGAGAGCACAUGUAGCAACCAUCGAAGAAAGAAAUGUAAUUUUAUAUGAAAGGGUCAAAAGGUCACCUUUCGACAUUAUAGGAAAAAUAUCAAAUCAAUUAUUAGGCAUUUUAGAUCAAGAUUACGCUCGGAAUAUUGAGAUGCAGAUUGACAAGGUGAACCAAGAUGACGAAUACACUAAAAGACUUCUACAAAAUCAAACUUCAAUUGUAGAAACCACACUUAAUAUCCUAAAAACAACAGGUCUACAAACCACAAAUCAAUUCAAAUUACUACAGGAAAGAGUUAGUAACAUAACUACAGAAAUGCAGAAUACAAUAGACAACGUUCAUCAAACUCAACUGUUAACUAUUCUAGGACUAACUACACACAUGUAUGUCAGCAACGUCAAAAACAUACAAGAUUCACUGCUAGAUGCUGUAUUAAACACGCAACACGGAACAACCCAUUAUUUGAUAAUAACUCCUCAACAACUUAGAAAACAUCUGACUGAUAUCCGGCAGCACAUGCCUGCAACAAUGACACUACCUGUAAGUGAACGUCCAGAUCAAAUACUUCAAAUAUAUAAAUUGAUGAAUGUUCACGGGAGAAUAACUAAAAGCUAUAUCAUCUUUGAGUGCAAUAUACCAAUACUAGACUCAGAGAUAUACCAGUGUUUAGAAUAAUACCCGUUCCAACACCAUUUCAGGAUCAAUUUACCUUCAUUGCUCCAUCAUCAAAAUAUAUAUUUACUAAUCUAGCACGAGAAAAAUACUAUCCAAUGCAAGAAAGCGAAUUCGACAAAUGCACUUCAGUAGAAGAAGGGUUACAUUACUGUCCAAAACAUCAUCCGCUUUACAAUCUCCAAUCUAAUACAUCCCUUUUUUUUUAAUAAAUAUGAUUUAAAAUCAUGAAAAUAUAAAAAAUAUAAAAACCAGCAUAAAAGUGUUCAUAUAUGCGUUUCGCCCCGAUGUAAUGGUUGAGCUCAUCAGAAGAUGACCAUUACACCUUGUCUUGACGCAUAUUUUCCCGAAUAAAUCGAGACUCCAUAUAAUCCGAGCUGCAUAGAGCAACUGCGAAUUAUAUAGUUGCUACAAGUCUAAAAAGAAGAUAAAUUGUAGCUAUUUUUAUUUCCUUGCUAUGGCACUGAAGAAAUAUUUGACUGUAAACAGUCGAAUUGUUUUUUCCUGAACACCGUUUAUUUUUAAUAAAUAUGAUUUAAAAUCAUGAAAAUAUAAAAAAUAUAAAAACCAGCAUAAAAGUGUUCAUAUAUGCGUUUCGCCCCGAUGAUGUAAUGGUUGGGCUCAUCAGAAGAUGACCAUUACACCUUGUCUUGACGCAUAUUUUCCCGAAUAAAUCGAGACUCCAUAUAAUCCGAGCUGCAUAGAGCAACUGCGAAUUAUAUAGUUGCUACAAGUCUUCAAAGAAGAUAAAUUGUAGCUAUUUUUAUUUCCUUGCUAUGGCACUGAAGAAAUAUUUGACUGUAAACAGUCGAAUUGUUUUUUCCUGAACACCGUUUAUUUUUAAUAAAUAUGAUUUAAAAUCAUGAAAAUAUAAAAAAUAUAAAAACCAGCAUAAAAGUGUUCAUAUAUGCGUUUCGCCCCGAUGUAAUGGUUGGGCUCAUCAGAAGAUAGCAAGGAAAUAAAAAUAGCUACACUGAGCCAAAAAACAACGUAAAA